rnacentral:rRNA from 1 species
GAUGAACGCUGGCGGCGUGCCUAAUACAUGCAAGUCGAGCGAACGGACGAGAAGCUUGCUUUUCUGAUGUUAGCGGCGGACGGGUGAGUAACACGUGGAUAACCUACCUAUAAGACUGGGAUAACUUCGGGAAACCGGAGCUAAUACCGGAUAAUAUUUUGAACCGCGUGGUUCAAAAGUGAAAGACGGUCUUGCUGUCACUUAUAGAUGGGUCCGCGCUGCAUUAGCUAGUUGGUAAGGUAACGGCUUACCAAGGCAACGAUGCAUAGCCGACCUGAGAGGGUGAUCGGCCAUACUGGAACUGAGACACGGUCCAGACUCCUACGGGAGGCAGCAGUAGGGAAUCUUCCGCAAUGGGCGAAAGCCUGACGGAGCAACGCCGCGUGAGUGAUGAAGGUCUUCGGAUCGUAAAACUCUGUUAUUAGGGAAGAACAUAUGUGUAAGUAACUGUGCACAUCUUGACGGUACCUAAUCAGAAAGCCACGGCUAACUACGUG